rnacentral:rRNA from 1 species
CUACGGGCCGCUGCAGCUAAGAAUCUUCCGCAAUGGGCGCAAGCCUGACGGAGCGACGCCGCGUGAACGAAGAAGGCCGUGAGGUUGUAAAGUUCUUUUCUUGGGGAGGAAUAAGCCCUGCAGGGAAUGGCAGGGUGAUGACGUGAACCGAGGAAUAAGCCCCGGCUAAUUACGGUGCCAGCAGCCGCGGUAACACGUAAGGGGCGAGCGUUGUUCGGAAUUAUUGGGCGUAAAGGGCGCGUAGGCGGGAAUGCAAGCCUGAUGUGAAAUACCCCGGCUCAACUGGGGGGGCGCGUUGGGAACUGUAUUUCUUGAGUAUAAGAGGGGAUGUUGGAAUUCCAGGUGUAGGGGUGAAAUCUGUAGAUAUCUGGAAGAACACCGGUGGCGAAGGCGAACAUCUGGCUAUAUACUGACGCUGAGGCGCGAAAGCGUGGGGAGCGAACAGGAUUAGAUACCCGCGUAGUC